UGGAUAGGAGACAAGAGGGCAUCUUCUUGUUUUUAAAAGACCUAGCAAUAGGUAUGCUUAGGGAGGAGCUUGCGUCACAUUAGUUAGUUGGUGGGGUAAAGGCCUACCAAGACUAUGAUGUGUAGCCGGGCUGAGAGGUUGAACGGCCACAUUGGGACUGAGACACGGCCCAAACUCCUACGGGAGGCAGCAGUAGGGAAUUUUCGGCAAUGGAGGAAACUCUGACCGAGCAACGCCGCGUGAACGAUGAAGUAUUUCGGUACGUAAAGUUCUUUUAUUAGGGAAGAAUAAAUGAUGGAAAAAUCAUUCUGACGGUACCUAAUGAAUAAGCCCCGGCUAACUAUGUGCCAGCAGCCGCGGUAAUACAUAGGGGGCAAGCGUUAUCCGGAAUUAUUGGGCGUAAAGGGUGCGUAGGCGGUUAAAUAAGUUUAUGGUCUAAGUGCAAUGCUCAACAUUGUGAUGCUAUAAAAACUGUUUAGCUAGAGUAAGAUAGAGGCAAGUGGAAUUCCAUGUGUAGUGGUAAAAUGCGUAAAUAUAUGGAGGAACACCAGUAGCGAAGGCGGCUUGCUGGGUCUUUACUGACGCUGAGGCACGAAAGCGUGGGGAGCAAACAGGAUUAGAUACCCUGGUAGUCCACGCCGUAAACGAUGAGUACUAAACGUUGGGUAAAACCAGUGUUGAAGUUAACACAUUAAGUACUCCGCCUGAGUAGUACGUACGCAAGUAUGAAACUUAAAGGAAUUGACGGGACUCCGCACAAGCGGUGGAUCAUGUUGUUUAAUUCGAAGGUACCCGAAAAACCUCACCAGGUCUUGACAUGCUUCUGCAAAGCUGUAGAAACACAGUGGAGGUUAUCAGUUGCACAGGUGGUGCAUGGUUGUCGUCAGCUCGUGUCGUGAGAUGUUGGGUUAAGUCCCGCAACGAGCGCAACCCUUAUUGUUAGUUACCAGCACGUAAUGGUGGGGACUUUAGCAAGACUGCCAGUGAUAAAUUGGAGGAAGGUGGGGACGACGUCAAAUCAUCAUGCCCCUUAUGACCUGGGCUACAAACGUGAUACAAUGGCUGUUACAAAGGGUAGCUGAAGCGCAAGUUUUUGGCGAAUCUCAAAAAAACAGUCUCAGUUCGGAUUGAAGUCUGCAACUCGACUUCAUGAAGUUGGAAUCGCUAGUAAUCGCGAAUCAGCAUGUCGCGGUGAAUACGUUCUCGGGGUUUGUACACACCGCCCGUCAAACCACGAAAGUUGGCAA
rnacentral:rRNA from 1 species